GGGACCGCGCGACGUCCAGGCGCAGCUGCCCACGCCGCGCACCGGACCCUCCUUCCCGGCGGCCGCGCCCGCCCGCGUGUGGGGUAGGAAUGCUCGGCAGCCGCGAGCUCUAUUUCUGUCCCGAGAUUAAGCCUGAAAAUCCCAGCCGCCUGGGGCAGCAGUGCAGGGCCUCGGGCGCCCUCUGCUGGGCCCUGGGGCCGCGUGCAGGCGGGCUGGCGGCCGGCUGUGGGUCCCUGGGAGCCUCGCACCCCUUCCGGCCCGGACUGUGCCCCUGGACCCCGCCCGGUCCCAGCCUGGCUCUCACGGCGCCCUGUCCUGCUGUCUCCCUCCCCUGUCCCGCGUCUGCCCUCCUGGCCAAUGACUGCCUGGCCAGAAACGGUGACCUCGGUGGCACGCCCCGUCAUAGGCACGCUGGAGGCUGAGGCAGGAGGGCCCCAAGUCCCAGCCCGGCUCCCCUGCGCCGCCUCCUGGGGGUCCUCCCUGCCUUGUGGAGUCCUGGUGACCCCAGAUGUCUGGGGCCGCAGUCCCCUCCUCCCCCUCGGCCCUGACGCUGCGUCCCUGUUGCUGCAGGUGCAGGUGCAGAGGGAGGAGCCGCGGCCGCCGCCGAGCAGCCAGACCAUCCCCGCCUUCUACUUCCCCCGCGGCCGCCCCGAGCACGCCGCCCACGUGGACGCCGUCAUCGCCAGGAUCGAGGGCGUCUUCGCGCAGUUCCCGAACGAGCGAGCCACGGCCGGCGACAUGGGCCAGGUGGCCAAGGCCUGCGGCUGCCCGCUCUACUGGAAGGGCCCGCUGUUCUACGGCGCCGGCGGGGAGCGCACCGGCUCGGUGUCCGUGCACAAGUUCGUGGCCAUGUGGAGGAAGUGAGUCGUGGGCGGGCGGGCGGGGAUCCCGG
rnacentral:lncRNA from 1 species